AGUAGAGUGGUGCUACAGAAGCAUGCUGGACUCAUAACCCAGAGACUGAUGUAUUGAAACCAUCCUUUGCUU
rnacentral:tRNA from 1 species